GUAGGGGGCAAGCGUUGUCCGGAUUUAUUGGGCGUAAAGAGCGUGUAGGCGGCCAGGUAGGUCUGCUGUGAAAACUCGAGGCUCAACCUCGAGCUGUCGGCGGAAACCAUCUGGCUAGAGUCCGGAAGAGGAGAGUGGAAUUCCUGGUGUAGCGGUGAAAUGCGCAGAUAUCAGGAAGAACACCUAUGGCGAAGGCAGCUCUCUGGGACGGUACUGACGCUGAGACGCGAAAGCGUGGGGAGCGAACAGGAUUAGAUACCCUGGUAGUCCACGCCGUAAACGAUGGGUGCUAGGUGUGGGCGGUGUCGACUCCGUCCGUGCCGAAGCUAACGCAUUAAGCACCCCGCCUGGGGAGUACGGCCGCAGGGCUA
rnacentral:rRNA from 1 species